GGUGGCUCAGUGGUAGAGCACUUGCCUUGUAUGCAUGAAGCCCUGGGUUCAAUUCCUUGGCACCA
rnacentral:tRNA from 1 species